rnacentral:rRNA from 1 species
UGCGUAGGCGGACUAAUAAGUCAGUGGUGAAAUCUUUCGGCCCAACCGAGAAACUGCCAUUGAUACUGUUAGUCUUGAGUUCGGUUGAGGUAGGCGGAAUGUGUAAUGUAGCGGUGAAAUGCUUAGAUAUUACACAGAACACCAAUUGCGUAGGCAGCUUACUAGACCGACACUGACGCUGAGGCACGAAAGCGUGGGGAGCGAACAGGAUUAGAUACCCUGGUAGUCC